rnacentral:lncRNA from 1 species
UUUCCCUGCACGCGGACAGAGUAGCCCCAGUACGUCCAAGGCGUCACAAUCAAUAUAAUACGAGUGGUUCCAAACAGGAACAGUAUUCAUUCAAAGAUUGCAUAAGGAAGCAUCAAAAACAUAAACUGCUAAGUUAUUACACCAUUCAGUUAGAUACCUUUUACAUCAUAAUUUUACUUUUACAUUAACUUCCAAAUACAAUCCCAAAUAUUACAAUUUAUUACAACUUAAUAAAAGUUUGUUAUUGUAACACACUGGACCUUUGCAAAUUGUGAGGUUCGAGUGUUUGGAUGUAUUUCGAGCUUUUCCACACUUGGUGGACGGUUGUAAAAUGUUCCCCGACCCGAAAAGUUCGAAAACUGAAAUUCUGGACAAGUCCUGAGAGUUUUCACUCUCGGGGACCGGUCCCUGGAAGGAGAGACCAGUCCCCUCAGUGAGCAGUGUUGAGGCAGCCUGAGGCAACCGGUCCCUGGCAGGCGAGACCGGUUCCCGAACGCAUCUUCGCAGUGAGAGACCGGUCCCGCGCAGGGAGAGACCGGUUCCCGAACGUUGGUUUUUCGGGUUCGCAGCGAGAGACCGGUCCCUGCUGGGGAGAGACCGGUCCCUCUGGGCGAAAACUGUCCAGACCGGGCUGAUGCAAUAUUGGAUUUUUGGAGGGCCUAGCUGGAUUUUGUUACAAUAGAGGGUCUAUAUGACCCCUCCACCCUCUCUACUUCUCAUUUCUCUUCUCCCAACUCUCUCCAUACCUUUGAUAGAGAAGAAGAAGAAGAAGAAGGAGAAGAAGGAAGGAAGGAGAAGAAGCUUGGAGCUACUAGUGGACUUGGGGCAUCUCCCUCACCUUCUCAUCCUCCUUGGUGCUUGAAGGCUUGGACUUGGAGCUUGCAAAGAGGGAGAUCUUCACCCUUGGAGCUUGGAUUGGAGCUUCUAAGAAGGUUUGUUGCUCAUUCCCUUCCUCUAGACCUUAAUUUGAGGAUUUUUGGUAGAUGGAGCCCUAGAAAUGAGAUUUAGGGUUGAUUUUGGGCAUUUUGAACCUAGCGCUUUUGGGGCUAGAUUGAUUGGUUUAGAACCUUCCUUAGGCUUGGUUUGGAAGGGUUCUAGCUCUCUUUUGGAGCUUUAGAAGAGAUUUCUUCUCUUGAGGCGAAUUUUGGCCCUUUUUGCUUCUAGAUUGAUGUUCGAUCUUAUGGUUGGUCGUAAUACUCUCGUAUCUCUUCGCUGAUCUCUUUUAGGGUAUCUUGAGGCUCGUGGACAACUCCGUUCGACGAAUCGAAGGAGCACGCGACGGUUCGGUGGGUUUGGCCUAGCAUACAAUAUGAGAAAUGCUCAUAUUUGGUGUUAAAUGUUUCGUAAAGUUGGAAUUCUUGCAUUUUCAUGUUAAAUGUAUUUAUUAUGAAUUUUAGAAUGCUUAACAUGCAUAGGUUAUGUGUAGUAAAUUUUGGGACCUCUAUAUAGUAGAGAGCAUGNNNNNNNNNNNNNNNNNNNNNNNNNCUACCGUCGAACUAGGUAGGCCUCGUACGCCAGUUGCCUCCUUCGGCUCGGCGCCCGUCCGGUGCUACGCGUUGGUUGCCAUCGUCGCCUUUACGUCAUUUUUUUUUUUAUUUUAUGUAGUAUGCAAGGGUAAUUCAUUUGAAGAACCUUGGGCAAAAGAUGUGAAAAAGCCUUGUAGUCAUUGGUUCUAUAAUCGUCGCCUUUCCCUUCCUGAGGAGAAAAGCCAUUGAUAUUCCCCUAUAUGAUCCAAUAACGUUAUCUCGAGGACUGAACGUAAUCGUAAUGAUGUCGUGAUAAUAUUGUUCGUUGUCAGGUACUGUUGAAAAUUGGCCACUAAUACCGAAACAGAAAGUGUGCAGAAGGCAUUUUUAAAAUAUCGGUUGCAAUGAUAACAUAUAUAGUGUAAUACUAGUCACAUUAAUGUAAUACGCUCGCAAGCAUAUGUGAUAUCCGUCAAAAUUAUGUCGCUGCAAGAGAUGCGCCGUUAUUUAUUAAUCAACUGUUCGAGUUGAAGCUAUGCUAACGUUGUUGCAGAGAUGUUGGAAAUGAAUUAUGGCCGGUAACUAUAAUAUUACGAAACUGCUCGUAGAGUAUAUGAACUUUUAGUCAAAUUGACCAAUGUGUGCGAGAGAAAUAGUUAGACAAAGUCCAUUGAAUUCCAACAAUAUUGGAAGCGUUAAGUUGAUCUAAGAGAGUUAGGAAAAGUUUAGUAUGCUCGGCGGCGAAAUUAGAGUCGACAACAAUGCAAAAACUGCAGUCUGGAGCAUUGUUAACCAGGUAAAGCAGUUGACGCAGUCCAGGUACCAGGCAGACCAAGAAGUAGCAGCUCUCGGGUUUGGCCCUCUCGUCAAGCUGGUUUACGGUGACAGCAUUGGAAGUGUACCGGGUACCGAUAAUUGCCAACCAGAGAAAUAGCCAGCUCUUGGGUUGGCGCUGUACACAAAGGCGAUUAACCGUGCGCCCCACCCGCCCUACGCGUACCCUUGCACCCGAACUAGAGCAGUCUGCUGCAAAUAAAAGAAAUGGAGGGUCUAUGUGUCUUUGUAGCAACCUAUAAAUAAACCCUUAACCCUCCCCUCUCAUUCCAAGCAAUGAUACAACUCUUUUCUUCUCAUUUCUCUUCCCUCUCUCUAGAAACUCUUCCCAAGGUGGAAGAAAGCGAGCAAAAGGGGGAUUUGGAUGAGAUUUGGGAGUCUUUGAUACAGGCUUCUGGCAAACUUACCUACAAGGAGGAGCUUGGGAGAGCUUUCGGCUAAGUUGAGUUUCAUGUAAGGAACUAGGCUAGGGUUUGUUUAUACGCUAAGAACACUUGAAUUUGUCUUUCUUCCAAGAUUUAAAAACCUUUGUAGAGGCGCAUGGAAUUUCAGAAAUCCAUGUUUUCUCAUGUGCUCCAUGUAGAAACCCUAGGGUUUGUUUUAUUGCCUAAGAUGGUUUAAAUGGUCUACAUGAGUUUCUAGAUGAUGACUAGCUUGCUUAUUGCUUUUUUUUAGAGAUCAAAUUGAGUGUAUUAGGCAAAUUGACAUUGUGCUAACAUACUUGAGAUAUAUUCGGUGAAUAUAUGUGGACUUCAGCCAAAUCUGGCCAAAGUGCCACGAAAGAAAUAGUUGCCACCAAGUUUCAUUAACAUUCCAAUCAUGUAGAAGGCUUCAAAAUGAGCUCUAAAAGAGUUAGAUGGUUUUAGUCCGUUGUCUCGUGUGGCGAAAUUUAGAUCGAAAAACGCACUGCUAAAAACUGCCACUCUGGAGCAUUGUGCUACCGGUAACAGGUCUGAUGGCGUGUACGUACAGCAAGCGACCCCAGAGAAAAAGGCUGCUCUCGGGUUUAAGCUGGAAAAGCUGCGAGUAGGUACCGGUGACGCGAUUUCGCCUUACCGUACCGUGCACGUGUGGCGACACACGAGAAAGCUGUUGUACGUGACAGGAACCCGUGUACGCUACGGUGCCCACCGAUGGACCGGCAGGCGCAGCCUGCUACAGAAUUUGACGAGCAGUGGGAGGGCGUCUUAUUUUUCAAUUGUUACCAUAUGUAAUAUCCCUUAACCCUCUUCCUUCCAGCAGAUCCCUCUCCCUCUCUCCCUCUCUGUCUCUUCUCUCUCCCUCCAACGCGUUGCAAGGGAACGGAAGGAAAAGAGAAAGAGAAGGAAAGAGAAGAGAGUAAGAAAAGCAAGAAAAGAUAGGAGAAUGAAGAAGCUCAUCUUCAUCUUCAUCUUCUUUAUGCUGUGCAGCAACGAGAGGUAAGCCAUUUGUCUCCUCUCAUGGUAGGAUUUAGGGGUUAGGGUUUGGUUUUAACCCUAUACUCCCCUAGAGAUUUGGAGCUCUUAAACAUGUUUAGAACCAUGUAGAGACCUUAGAACACCAUGAAUCAUGGUUUUCUUAUGGAUGCUGUAAUGGUGGAUUUCUAGUGUGUUGUUCUAAACGCCCUAGAAAUGGUUAGACAUGCUCCUAGUUUAGCUCCUAGAUGAUAAACAAGCUCUCUUUUGCUUGUUGUAUAGAUCAAAUCCGGAAGUAUGGCAUAUGUAUUAUUAGGCAUCAAAGAGAGGUUUUGCUCUAUUUGGGGUUUUGAUCUAUUUUGACCCCUUGGAAACCCUAUUGCGGACCUAACAAACGCGCUGUUGGCGAAGUCUGGUUUAACCAUUCAGUGCGAGUUCCGAAGUUUUGACAAAAGUAGUUUGUUCGUUACAGAUGCCCCAGCAGGCAGCAUAUAGACGCCUAAAAAAUCGUUGGACCGGAACCGGAGCACCUUGAGUCGAGGGAAUAAACUCGGAAAAGACGACCGCGGUUCGGAGGUCGUUUGGAGUCGCGCAAGAGUUCGGGCAAAACGGGAACGGUUGGCGGCUGAGGCCGAUUGCAAUGUGACUACAAGCAAUCGGAGCACAAGUGAAGUGCUGGGUUGUGUUUACCGAAGCGCUAGUGUCCGCCUUAUGUCUAAGAAAUGUUAAGAAUCCUUAUUGAUGCAUAUAAAGUGUUAAAUGUGGUAUGAUGGAUAAUGAAUUUCUAGUCAAUGCUAGUUUAUGCGUGCUGAUACGUAUAAUGCAAAAUGCUAAGUAAUGCAUAGAUAACGCAUAUGAUGUAAAUGCUAAAAUAGACAUGACCAUAUAAAAUGAAUAUAGAGAUCACGAAUCCAUGCAAGGUAUAAUAUAUAAAAAGCAUGAUUCAGAUUGUGAGAUUGGUAAUAUGCAUGUGAACUAGCAUUUGUGAGACUUAUAUGAUGCUUUGUGAACUUGUGGUAUCUCUAGAUGAGUGGGAGAUACUCGAAAAUGGAAGUCGGUGCAUGCUACGAACGCCUAAUUGCGACAUGUUGCAUGAUAAAGAAUGACGAGGUAAAGGAUCUGUGUAUAUGGACGAUAAAUGCACUAUAGAUCGAGUCGCCAUUGAACCCUAGAGUCAUGAACCUAGGAUAAUAAGAAUGAAUGUUGAACCAAUGUAAUUAAACAUAGUUGAAAAAGAGGAUAUUAACUAGUGACAAAGAAACAAUAGAUUAAACAACAGUGGCAAUAAACCUAAUGUUAUGAGACAUAGGUUAGGAGUUAAGUUAAUGAACUAGCAUUAAGUAUAAACCUAGGAUAUCGUGAUAAAAGUCGUUAAACUAUGAGUCAAGUAAACUAGUUGGGAAGGAAAAUGGACCUAAGUGGGUCGGACACUAUAGGUUUACAUAGACCAACCUUGAGUUACGUCAAGUGGAUUCCGGAUCCUGGCUCGCCAGCUGCCAGAUAUGAGCUCGGAAGUUCGUUGGCCGCGGGUGUAUGUGGCCAGUGUUCCUCUCCCACCGGAAGAACUUCGAAGGUGUGUGCAUAAGCAAGAACAGUGAGCGCUUUAGGGUGUAUGUGCAUGUUCCUCUUCCCUAUCGCGAUCUUCGGCUGCGGGUGUAUAGCGCAUUGUUCCUUCCCACCGGGGGAUCCUGACCACGGGGUACGCUAGGCGAGCCCAUUGGGCGAUGUGGUCUUGGUCUGUAGGCUGACGUGCAUUGCGAAGUCACUACCUCGAGCGGCGGAAGCGGGCUUAUCCGCCGGAUGAUGACUCAAGACCGAGUCGAGCGUGCAUAGAUGACUAAGGUAGAGUAACCUUAGAUAUUGAGCCUUGUCAUGGCUAUGGCAAAGAAUAAGAACGGACUAAUAAAUAAGUAUAACUGUUAAAGUAAAGAAAGGCUAUAAAUUAAAGAAUAGCUAUGACAGAAAACGAGAAUAUGCAAAGUAGAAAAGACGUUCGCUAGGAUUAGUAAAGAAUUGGAAAAAAAAGCAAUAGUCAAAGAUAUUGAGGAUGACUGAUGUAAAGCAAUAAAAAUUAAAGUGAAACUCUUGCGUAACAUACGGAGUUGCAUAUUGGCAUUGGGAGGCCUAGGACAUCUUAGUUCAAUAUCUGCGUAUAUAUCUGUUAAUAUGUUAUAUUGGACUAACUUGCUUACAGGGCCUGACACAUAACAUAUCGAUCGAAGCUUUUACCCUUGGGUGGCCGUACCUACUGAACAUGGAGUUUGUCUCACCACCACGAUUGUUUUGGAGUAUUUACAGGUACAUACGUGAGCGUGGCGGCCAGGGUGUAGCUCGUAGAUAGCGCCCUACCCAGAGACGAGAUAGAGUACCCCGAGUGUGUGGUCUAGCUUGGGAGGUUUAAGACAUUAUUUAGCUGUCAUGCCGGCGGACGGCGGAGGCCCUCCGAGGUUAGCGUGCCCAGACCCGCCUAUGUCUACACAUAUCAGGCGUCUACAGAAAAGGCGGGAAGUAAAAGCAAGAUGAUGAGAACAAAAAUGAGAAGUGAAGUAAAAAGAACCAUAUAUGAACUAUCAGAGCGAUAAAUUUUAAAUACAUUCUAUAUAUAGUAAUAGAACAUAAUUAAUACAAAAAAGGCUAAGAUAAGUUACACAAAUCUACGCUCCUAAUACAAAAAUGGUGGUCUCUAGAUACACUGGUAAAACUUUCUCAACUCUCCAAAUAAAGUACAACGGAGGAUGGACCACCUAGCGAGUCGUCCUCGUAGGAGCUAGCUCGAAGCAACUCCCUAUCUGCGGUUCUCUGGCUCACCCUGAGUGGAAGGCUCUGGAAAACAUCGAGAAAAAGAGGGCGUGAGAAACUAUUAAUUUAUAGUUCCAGUUCGGCAAUUACUGACCUCAGCUCCUGCUCCACGAGGCCCCAAAAACAAGGGUAAGAAACGUAAUAGCAACAGCAAUAAAAAGGGCAUGUAAUAAACUGCUGAAAGAAGAGAGCAUAAGUAAAAUGCUCUAUACUACUUAUAGUCCUCAUAAGCAAGAUGUCAAAAUGUUGUACGCUAUUCUAUCAUAAGAAAAGUAACAAUGCAAUAGUUUUACUGCUACAACCUUUAUUCAUACAUGAUGUAUAAGCUCGAUCAUGGCAACAAGUACACCUGUGAUGAAGUACGGUAACUGUUCAAGUACUAUACAUGUCUAACCUAGGCUAUGUGCAUGCAAAUGUAAUCCAAUACCAAACCUGUCUAGUAGGAUUGUUCAUUCUCAAACCGUGUCAGAUUUCUUAUUUCAAUUAGGACCUACCCAAGUAGUCUAGCUUGUGCCGCCUAAGUGCUGUGGUAGCCCAACAUCCCUACUCUUGGAAUGUGUCUGUCCACCCUCGACCCGUAGGCGUCUCAAUACGCACGAGCGAACAAAGUCGCAUAGGCCAAUCCGGAGUGCCGGUCUUGUGGGGCGACCCUCACAAGCAUGUGCGAAUGAGCACAAAUGGCAAACAAGCAAAGUCACUGUCUCAGUACCUAUUGCAUGUUAAGACAUUCUAAAAUCAUUAAUUAAAAAAUACAUUUAACAUGUGAAAUGCGAAGAAUUCCAACUUUACGAAAACAUUUAACACCAGAUAUGAGCAUUUCUCAUAUUGUAUGCUAGGCCAAACCCACCGAACCCGUCGCAUGCUCCUUCGAUUCGUCGACGGAGUUGCCCACGGCCUCAAGAUACCCUAAAGAGAUCAGCGAAGAGAUACGAGCAGUAUUACGACAACCAUAGAUCGAAAUCAAUCUAGAAGCAAAAAGGCCAAAUUCGCCUCAAGAGAAGAAAUCUCUUUCUAAAGCUCCAAAGAGAGCUAGAACCCGUUCCAAACCAAGCCUAAGGAAGGUGUCUAAACAAUCAAUUUAGCCCCAAAAGCCCUAGGUCAAAAUGCCCAAAAUCAACCCUAAAUUAUUUUAGGUUCCUAUUACCAAAAAUCCUCAAAUCAAGGUCUAGAGGAGGGAAUGAGCAACAACAUCUUAGAGCUCCAAUCCAAGCUCAUAGGGUGAAGAUCUCCCCUUUGCGAAGCUCCAAGUCCAAGCCUUCAAGCACCAAGGAGGAUGAGAAGGUGAGGGAGAUGCCCCAAGUCCACUAUAGCCCCAAGCUUCUUCUCCUUCCUUCCUUCUUCUCUUCUCUUCUUCUUCUUCUUCUCUAUCAAAGGUGUGGAGAGAGUUGGUGAGAAGAGAAAAUGAGAAAGUAGAGAGGGUGGAGGGGUCAUAUGAACCUCUACUUUUAACAAAAUCCAGCUAGGGGCCUCCAAAAUCCAAUAUUGCACAGCCGGUCUGUGGCGUUUUCGCCCAGAGACCGGUCUCUCCCAGCAGGGACCGUUCUCGCUGACGAACCCGAAAAUCAACGUUCGGGAACCGGUCUCUUCCUGCGCGGACCGUCUCUCACUGCGAAGAUGCGUUCGCGGACGGUCUCGCCUGCCAGGACCGGUUGCCUCAGGCUGCCUCAACACUGCUCACUGAGGGGACCGGUCUCUCCUUCCAGGGACCGAUCCCGAGAGUGAAAACUUCUCAGGACUUGUCACAGAAUUCCAGUUUUCGAACUUUUCGGGUCGGGGAACAUUUUACAACCUCCACCAGUGUGGAAAAGCUCGAAAUACAUCCAAACACUCGAACCUCGCAAUUUGCAAAGGUCCAGUGUGUUACAUUCACCCCUCCUAAAAGAAAUUUCGUACCGCGAAACUCAAAAGACAAAGUACCUCAAGCCUCCAUCUGAAAAAGAUGGAGGAUAGCCGCUCCCGCAGUUCGCUCUGCUAACUCCAAGUGGCCGUCGCGUUUCGUCACUGGUUGCUCAAAGCACUUCACGUAAGAAUUUCUCGCGUUCGCAAUCUUUUCACCUCGCGAGCCAAAUUCUUCAAGGGUUGCUGCUUCGAAGUUCAAAUCAUCCCGAGCUCCAAGGCUGUAGUAUCCAACAACCCACGUGAGCUGGAUCGUGGAUGUACUUCGAAGGACCGUAUACAGGACACAUUGUGUACACCCACGAUAGGUUCGGCCGGUUUAGACGAGUCGAUACGCGCUACCGGGACCUACACGCUCCAAAAACCUCAAACGGUACAAUGAUGAUCGAGGCUCAACUUGCCCCGGAUUCCAUCUUCGAUUCCUCGAGGCGCGAGACUUUGCAAGAACACAUUGUUCUAACUGAAACUCCAAGUCUCGUCAGACUGCCCGAUCAGCUUAACUGCUCUCUUACUGUCCCUGAGGCGUCAACAAUCGCUCCGAGCCAUAUGCGAACCUUGUCCUGCUGCUUCCUGGAGCAAUCAGGUGGCCUAAGCCAAUCUCUUCACCAACUUCCUCCAAUGAAGUGCGAUCUACACUUAUCGUCCAAUUAGAGUCUCGAACGGUGCCAUCUGAUGCGUUGCUUGGAUAACUAUGUUAUAAGCAACUCUGGCCACUCGUAGUGCUGACGUCCUCCUCCUGGAAGUCGAUCACGCGUAGGUCGAAGCAUGUCCUCGUAGAGUCUGUAUAGUACGCUCCGAACCUGCCCCGUCACUCUGGGGUGCAAAGCUGUGCUGAAGUCAACGCGUACCCAGACGGCGCCUGUAAGACUUCCAAAAUGGAUAACAUAUGCGAAUCCGAUUGAAAACCGAUAGAGAUAGUACCCCGUGCAUAGCCGCACAAUCUCAUCCAAAGUAUACGUGUUCGAGUCUUCUCACCAGUCCAAGUAGUGUGCGGAUAGGUUAUGAAAUGUACCAGUUUCGUCAUAUCAUCCACAAUCACCCAAAUAGCGUAUGCCGGCCUGGUGAGCGAGGCAACAUUGCCCAUCACGAAAAUCCUAUCCGGUGAUCUUUUUCCAUUUCCACCUGGAAUCGGUAGGCUGCAACUUCCUGCAGGAAUCGAGUGUCAGCCUUUAACCCCUUGUUGGGCAAAAUUAAGCAUACUGGCACAAACUCACCAACAUUCCUUUUUCACACGGCCACCAGUAAAGUAAUUCAAGCCUUGUCUACUUUUGGUGCUCCCGGUGUAUAGCAUACGGUGCUCCGGUUGUGCUUCUGAGAAUGGUCUUUUUAAUGCCCACAGUCGCCGUACACAAAGGUCGGUCCGCGGAACGCAUCUCUACCAUCACCGGGUCUAAGGUGAAGUCACCGAUGCUAACCAUUCAACCAUUCUAGUUCAACCUUUUGCAACUCCGAGUCGAAGCUUGCUUUUCUUUAAUCCUUUCCAAAAGGGAUUGGUUGCACACUAAAGUCAUCAUCUCAAAGAUGAUCGGGGCCUACACCUCACAAUUCCAACCUUUCAUUGCUCGAUCAACUGCGCGUUGUAGUCCAACAUCAAGCAUCGCUAAGUUUUCCGUCGUUCGAUACUUAGCGCAUCGCCACCACGUUAUAGCCUAUGCCGUGGUGGUAACAGUAUCGGUCAAAUAUAAUCCGCUUGGAGUAGCUCCAACCAUCUGCGCUAGCCUCAGUUCAACUGCCUUCUGAGUGAAAGAGAUACUUUAGCUCUUGUGAUCCGUUUAUAUUCGCAUAGCUCGCUCGCACAUAAGAGCGUAAAGGCCUCCUAGUUCAGUGCAAGAACUUACGCCGCCAAUCCAAAGUCUGUUGAGUGGAGUUAUUCCUACUCAUAGUUCCUUCAAUUCGGCGAGAUGCAUACCGCUAUCACUUUCCCGUCCGCUCAGACACAGCAGCCCAAUCCAUUAAAGGAAGCGUCACUAUAAAUACAUACUGCUCCAGCUAGUUCGGCAAGUAAGGAUUGGGGCAGUCGGUCAAUCAGUGCCUUUAAACUCUUGGAAGCUCCUUUCACACAUCAUUCCAAUAAACUUGAGUGCCCUUAUGGUUGAGUCUAGUGAAGGUAGAGUUAACUUCGCAAAUCCCUCGACAACGUCAAGGUAGAUAGCGGGCCAAAACCAAUGAAGUCCGUAUCCGGUCCGCGCUCGUUGGCCUCGGCCAAUCCUUGGAGCUUCAAUUUUCCUCGGUCCAUGGCCUAUGCUGAUCUGAAAUCAAGCAUGGCCCAUAAAACGCGACUUCUCUAAAGCCAAAAAUUCACACUUUUUUCACUUGGCGUAGGCUUUUCUCCCGAAGCCACGUUGAAGUACAAGUCUCAAUGUGUUCCUGUGAAUUCCUCGUCACCUUCGGGAAUGACAAAAUGUGUCAUUCGAUGAACACACGACAAUCUGUGUCUAAAUAAGCGCUUGAAAACACGGGUUGUCAUCAGGAUCCAUAAAAGCGUGCAGGGCCGAUUAGUAAGCCCAACGGGCAUAACCGCUAACUCUAUAAUGUCAUACCGUAAUUCUAAAAGCGUCCGAACAUGCCUGGGUUCGAUCUCAACUGAUGAUAUCGACUGCAAGUCAAUCUUGGAAUAUUCACACCGAUCCCUGAGUUGCAUCAAAUAGAUCAUCAAUCCUGGGUUAAAUGGUACUUGUCUUAAUCUCUGCACUUAUUAAAGUUCACUAGAUAGUCACGCGAAUAAGGAAGUGAUCAUCUUCUUUUUCACAAACAAAACCGGUGCUCUAGGGUGACACAUCGUCUCACGAAACCCUUUGUCCAGAAUCCACUGAACUGCUGCCUUUCAGCUCCUUUCAAUUCUGCUGGCGUGCCAUCCUAUAGGGUGCUUUGAGAUUGGAGUAGUCCCCGCGAAUGAGAUUCUACAAAGUACCAAUCUCCCUUCAGGUGGCAGCGGAAGUCCGCAGAACAUCUCCACUCCCGCACUACGGGAAUAUCCUCAAGCCUAGGGUGUGUCACCACACCCGCGACAAACAGUAGCUAAAGUUAGCUACGCAGACCUCUACUAAUCAACUAUCGAGCUUGAGAAGGAACUAAUCCGUAUCGCAAACAGCGAACUCUGCAUCCUCGGUCACAACCUCGCCUGCUCUGGCUCUUCUAAAACUCACCAGUUCGAUCUUUACAAUCGGAUGGGUGGCAAAGUAUUGGUCAGUCAAUUAUUGCCCAAACACAACAUCAAACUCCCGAGUUUGCUGCAAGCUAGAUAAGUCCACGGCUGAUCCAAUCUCAAUCCUAACAGGCGGCAACUGGGGCAAAUCCCAAUCACAAGAAAUGGUCGGGUACAAGAACUCUGGCCCGGGAUGCCUAAUAAGCGAUAAAAGUGGUGAUAGAGCGCGCAAUGCAGCUCGGCAAACCACGAAUCAAUGAAUGUGAAUGUCGAGGCACCGGUAUCUAAACAAAGCUCUUAACAUCGAAAUAAUGAAGUAAAAUGAUCACCUGGACCAAUCUCGCUGCCGCCGCUCCUCAGUUCGGCCGGUACAUUGCGCACACGCUUCAAGGCCUCGUCGCUGACCCCUACGCUGCCGCAAACGGGCGGGCGUUCUGCCUGGAUGCACAGAAGAAUGUUCCCUGCGCUGUGGAUUAACGCGUAUGCUGGUGCAGUAUGAGCAGAUUGCGCGCAAUGGACUCCUCGGGAGUCCGAUGGAAGUGGCCCUCCUGGUCCACACAAGGAAGCACUGCCCGGCUGCGGGAAAUGCGCGGGUAGUGAGGAUCCGCCACAGAUCACGCCACGGGAGCCUGACGACGAUCGGUCUCUCGCUAAAAGUAGACUAGGCCGCGUCACUCCGAUGGCUCCUGCCUCCUGGGAUGCUCCGCGCUCGUGAGUGCGUCUGUACUACACCUCAGCCGUCGUGGUCUGGUUCCACUUCCUUCUCCCAGCUCGUGCGACAUCCUGCAGAUCCGCCGCUCCUGCCUCAACAAUAAAGGUCGAUCACAACUCUCGGUAGGUCUGGCUUUGGUUGAAGACGUGCCAACCGGUAAGAUAGAAGGCCGCAGCCGCGCUCAAAGAUGGCGGGCGCUGUUCCCGUCGUCUCCGCACCACAAAAGGCAACAGAUGGAGUAAACGAGAAAACUCCCUCUCGUACCUUCGCCACAGACCGCUCAUCCCUAGCGACAAGCUGCGCAAGUCACAAUGCCUCAUCUUCCUCUUUGACCGUUAGUAGGGAAAUAGUGCGCAGAAGAGUCCUUGAAUCGCGUCCAUGUGAUCGACUACCAAGCUCGGUUUGGGUUGUCCUAUUAGAUCGAACACCAAGCGGUAGGCCUCGCCCGCUCCAGAAGAGUGAGUGUGCGAUGCCAAACUGCAUCUCGCUCCUCACACAAAGUGUAUCUAAAUAGUUUCUCAUAUGCCAUACCUAACACUCAACAAUCAGUGGUCGACAUCUCUCGCCAUCUAAACAUCUCGGCAUGCCCUCUGAACUCACCGAGAGGCCGCUCUGAUGUCCGAUCCCGCUCGGCUCCCUCAGCCACAGGGGAAAUGCUGCCCCCGUCAACAGGUCUCUGAACAGGUAGUGUGCAGCCACUCCUCCCGAGCGUGCGUCGUCGCCAGGAUUGCCGCACGUGGAACUGGGCGCGAGGCUGCCCUCGGAGACGUCCCAGGGUGCUGGGCUGUGUGGGCCUUGGUUCACCCUCGAAGCUGCGCUGGUGAAGUAGGAGGUCCUCGACGAUGCUUCAUCCCGCCUCCUGGCCCUGAGGCCACCUCAGCCUGUCGCUGCGCCGUGCGUCAUGCUGCGCAACAGAUCAGUAGAGAACCGCAGCUGGGCCCUCAAGGUCACGGACCUCACUAGAUGCCGGAAGUAGCGGAGUCUCGAUUCUCGGGUUGUGUUGUGCCGCAUCAUCCGCCCAGGCAGAUUUGGUGGAGCGUGUAAUCGAAAAUAAAUUGGCAAUCGUCACUCAAGCUAAAAGCGCAAGUUAGUACCCACGCUAUCGAUCUCCGCUCAAAUAGAUAAAAUCCAAAUCAUGCGAAAGUAAGAAGUGUCUCACUGCUAACUCGCCUGGAUGGUCGUUGUCCGGCCGCAAGUAACCUCGCGCGAGUUAGAGCAUACACUCCUGAUCAAACUUAACAUUUUUAGAGUAUUGUCCUAAAACCCAAUCAAAAUACUUUCUCGCUCACAAGUCAAAUGAGACUCGUCUCUCACGAGCCUAUUUCCUAUAGUCCAACCGGCUAAGGUUUUGACUAGGUCACUAAGACUCACCGCUAGGCUCCUAAUACCAAUUAUCUGUCACGGCCCGGGACCGCGCGGAAGGCCUCCGUUAGCUGGUGCCAAGACCCGCCUAUGUCAUACACAUAUAAGGGUCUUACAAGAAAAGCGCGAAGUAAAAGCAAGAAAUGAACAUAAUGAGAAGAACGUGAAGUAACAAGCAGACUAAUGAUGAUCAGAGCGAAGCUAAAGUUCUAACAUCUUACAAUAGUUAUAGAACAUAACUAAUACAAAAAGGUAGACAUUAAGUUACACAAUAUCAGCCUCUAAUACAAAAUGGUGGUCUCUAGUACACUGGGUAAAACUCUUCAACCCUCUCAAAAGUAAUAGUACAACGCAGAGGGGCGGACACUAGCCGAGUCGUCCUCGUAGGAGCUAGCUUGAAGACUCCCUUUCCGGCGGGUCUAUUGGCCACACCUGAGUGGACGACUCUGAAAAACAUCGGAGAAAGAAGACGGGCGUAGAACUAUAAUUUAUAUGUCCAGUCGGCAAUUAACUGACCUCAGUUCUGCAUCCACUAGGCCCCAAAACAAGGGUAAGAAAUCGUAAUAGCAAAAAUGCAAUAAAAAUGCGAGCAGUAAUAAACUGCUGAAAGAGAGAGCAUAAGUAAAAUUGCUUUAUACUACUAAUCCUAUAAACAGAUGUCAAAGAUGUUGUCCUAUUCUAUCAUAAGUGAAAAGUAUACAAUGGCAAUAGUUUAUGCUACAUCCUUUAUUCAUACUAUGAGUAUAAGCUCGAAUCAUGGCAAACCAAGUACACUGAUGAUGAAGUAGGUAACUGCUCAAAUGUGUACUACAUUGCUCAACCCUAGGCUCAUGUGCAUGCAAAUGUAAUCCAACUACCAAACCUGCUUCUAGUAGUGAUUGUUCAUUCUCAAACCUGUGUCGAUUUUAUUUCCAAUUAGGCGACACUAACCCAAGGUAGUCCAGUCUUGUGCCGCUAAGCUGCUUAGUACCCAACAUCCCUACUCUUGGAAUGUGUCUGUCCACUCGACCCGUAGGCGUCUCAAUACCGCACGAGCGAACAAAAGUCGCAUAGGCCAACUCCGGAGUGCCGGCUUGUGGGAGCGACCCUCACAGCAUGUACGAAUGAAGCACAACAAUGGCAAAUAAGCAAAGUCACUGUCUCAAGUACUCAAUCCUCAUGUCUCUUAACAUGGUAUAGUCACUAGCAUCCCGAAGAUCUAGUUCAAAGUCAUAAUGUGAAGUCCCAACACACACUUGCUUAGUGCCUUUUAUGACACUUAAGCUCACAACUGAUCAUGUUUCAUUAAGACAUUAACAUUAACGGCUCGCUAUGCCCCGGGCCCCAAUGCCUCUUCAUGACAUUGGCCCAAUUUCACAUAUCUUUAAGUCUCUAAACCUCUCUAGGCAUUCCAAAAUCCCUAAUGUCAUAACAUGGUAUAUAGUUGAAUGCAUGAAAGCAAGGUUCGUUUUCAUAAUAGGGAUUUAAUCAAGUUCAACAGAAUGCGUAGCCACACAUACAUCACCCAAAUUAGUUGGUUUAGAACCUUCCUUAGGCUUGGUUUGGAAGGGUUCUAGCUCUCUUUUGGAGCUUUAGAAGAGAUUUCCUCUCUUGAGGCGAAUUUUGGCCCUUUGUGCUUCUAGAUUGAUGUCCGAUCUUAUGGUUGGUCGUAAUACUCUCGUAUCUCUUCGUUGAUCUCUAUUAGGGUAUCUUGAGGCUCGUGGACAACUCCGUUCGACGAAUCGAAGGAGCACGCGACGGUUCGGUGGGUUUGGCCUAGCUUACAAUAUGAGAAAUGAUCAUAUUUGGUGUUAGAUGUUUCGUAAAGUUGAAAUUCAUGCAUUUUCAUGUUAAAUGUAUUUAUUAUGAAUUUUAGAAUGCUUAACAUGCAUAGGUUAUGUGUAGUAAAUUUUGGGACCUCUAUAUAGUAGAGAGCAUGCAUGUGUGGCCUAGCAUUCUAGUUGAGACUUGAAAUUAUAAUCCCUAUUAUGAAAACGAACCUUGCUUUCAUGCAUUCAAACCAUAUACCAGAUGUGACAUUAGGGAUUUUUGAAAGCCUAGAGAGGCUUAGGGACUUAGAUGAUAUGUGAGAUUGGGCCAAUGUCAUGAAGAGGCAUUGGGGCCCGGGGCAUAGUGAGCAUUAAUGUUAAUGUCUUAAUUGGAACAUGAUUAGUUGUGGAGCUUAAGUGUCAUAAAGAGGCACUAAGCAAGUGUGUGUUGGGACUUCACAUUAUGACUUUGAACUAGAUCUUCGGGAUGCUAGUGACUAUACCAUGUUAGAGACAUGAGGAUUGGAUACUUGAGACUUGGACUUUGCUUGCUUGCCAUUUGUGCUCAUUCGCACAUGCUUGUGAGGGUCGCUCCCUACAAGCCGGCACUCCGGAGUUAGCCUACGCGACUUAUGUUCGCUCGUGCGGUAUUGAGAAGCCUACGGGGUCGAGUGGGACAGACACAUUCCAUGAGUAGGAAUGUCGGGCUACCACAGGCACUUAGGCGGCACAAGCCGGACUACCUUGGGUAGAUCCUUAAUUGGAAAUGAAAAUCGACACGGUUUGAGAAUGAAUGAUCACUACUAGAUAGGCUUAGUAGUUGGAUUACAUUUACAUGCUUUUAGCAUAGUGUGAGACAUGUAGUAUACUUGGUUGCCAUGAUAGAACUUCUACAUCAUGCAUUGACAAAGGUUAACAGCAUUAAACUAGUGCCAUUGGACUUAAUUGUAAUGAUAGAUAGAUGUACAUUUUGGUUGACAUCAUGCUUACUUGAGACACAGUAGACUAGCAUUUCAAUUAUGCUUUCUUUCAGCAUUUUAUUUACAUGCUCCUUAUUGCUUAUUAUUAUUAUCGUUGCUUACCCUUAUUUUUGGGGCCUAGUGGAGCAUGAGCUGAGGUCAGUAAUUGCCCACUGGGAACUAUAAAUUAUAGUUCUCACGCCCUCUUUUUCUCGUUGUUUUUCAGAGCCUUCCACUCAGGGUGAGGCCAGGGAUCACGGAAAGAGUAUCACCUCGGGCUAGCGUGCUUACCGAGGGAUCGUUUGAUAGGUGGUCUACCUCUCUUUGUUUCUUUUGUGAGAGGUUGAGAGUUUUACCAGUGUAUUAGAGACCACCAUUUAUGUACUAGAAGCUGAUAUUGUACUACUUAUGUUUCCCUUUUAUAGUUUAGUUAUGCUCUUUUCCUAUUGUUAUGGAAGAUAGAAUCAUACUGCUCUGAUAUCACUAGUUGUUGCUCAUUCGUUUCUAUUACUUCUUGCUUUUACUUCCGCUUUUAUUGUAGACGCCUUAUAUGUGUAGACAUAUGGCGGGUCUGGGCACGCUACCGGGAGGGCCUCCGCCGGUCCCGGGGCGUGACAUCGGGACACUGUCUACGACCUUCCAGAAAGUCUGAAAAAGCUCGACGCACAGAUCAAACACUCGAACCUCGCAAUUUGCAAAGGUCCAGUGUGUUACAUUCACCCCUCCUAAAAAGGAGUUUCAUCCGCGAAACUCAAAAUGCGACGUACCUCAAGACUCCACCUGGAAGAGGUGAGGGUAGCGCUCCUGCAAAGCGCUCUCAAGCUCCCAAGUGGCCUCAUGCUCGCCGUGGUUGCUCCAAAGCACCUUCACGUAGGGAAUCUCACGGUUCCGCAAUCUUUUCACCUCGCGAGCCAAAAUCUUCAAAGGUUGCUCCUCGAAGCUCAGGUCCUCCCACAACUCCAAAGGUGUAGCAUCCAAUACAUGAGUCGGGUCGAAGAUGUACUUUCGAAGACCGAUACAUGAAAGACAUUAUGCACACCCGAUAGGUUCGGUGGUAGAGCAAGUCUAUACGCUACCGGGCCUACACGCUCCAAAAUCUCAUACGGUCCAAUGAAACAGGGGCUCAACUUUCCCCGAAUCCCAAAUCUUUUUAUCCCUCUAGUCGGCGAGACCUUCAAGAAAACAUGGUCUCCAACUUGGAACUCCAAGUCUCGCCGCCAUCGAUCAGCGUAGCUCCUCUGUCUACUCUGCGCCGCCACAAGACGCUCCUGAGCAAUUCGAACCUUGUCCUCAGCUUCCUGGAGCAUAUCAGGGCCUAGAGCCAAUCUCUCGCCAACUUCACUCCAAUGAAGUGGCGAUCUACACUUCCGUCCAUAAAGUGCUUCGAAGGGCGCCAUCUUGAUGCUUGCUUGAUAACUACAAUAGAUGUAGGCACUCCGUGAAGUCACACAAUCUCAUCAAGGUACAUUUGUGCGAGCUUCUCUCCGGUCCACGUAGUAUGAAUAGGCACGAAGUGCGACGACUUCGUCAACCUAUCCACGAUCACCCAAAUAGCAUCAUGCCCGACCUGAGAGCGAGGCAAUCCAGUCACGAAGUCCAUGGUGAUCUUCUCCCACUUCCACAAUGGAAUAGGCAAACUCUGAAGCUUCCCGGCGGGAACUCGGUGCUCUGCCUUCACCUGUUGGUAGGUUAAGCAUCUAGCGACAAACUCGCCAACAUCCUUUUACAUCCCAGGCCACCAAUAGAGCAACUUUAAGUCCUUAUACAUCUUGGUGCCUCCCGGAUGUAUCGCAUAAGGUGCACGGUGUGCUUCUUGAAGAAUGUCUUCUUUAAUUCCCGAAUCCGCCGGAACACAUAGUCGUCCUCGAAAGCGCAUCAACCCUCGGUCGUCCACAAGGAAAUCGCCGGUGCAACCAUCAACCAUUUUUCCUCUAAUCUUUUGCAAUCCCAAAUCGGAGACUUGCUUUUCUUUAAUUCUAUCCAGCAAUGUAGGUUGCACUACUAAGGUCAUCAACCUCAAGGGUGUGUCAGGAGUCACUACCUCCAACUCCAACCGCUUCAUCUGCUCGAUCAACUGCGGUUGAGUCACAACAUNCAUGCAUUGCUAAGUUUUUCAUCGAUUUCCUACUUAGCGCAUCCGCCACCACGUUAGCCUUGCCCGGGUGGUAGAGAAUAGUAAGAUCGUAAUCCUUGAGUAGCUCCAACCAUCUACGCUGUCUCAAGUUCAACUCCUUCUGAGUGAAUAAGUAUUUCAAGCUCUUGUGAUCCGUGUACACUUCACACCGCUCGCCAUAAAGAUAGUGGCGCCAUAGCUUCAAUGCAAAAACUACGGCCGCCAACUCCAAAUCAUGCGUCGGGUAGUUCUUUUCAUACUCCUUCAGUUGGCGAGAAGCAUACGCGAUCACCUUGCCGUCCGCUCGGGGCCGAUCACGUCACUUCGGGUUGACGCGGCAUCAUCGCGCGUCCCGUCGACGCGGCCGUCGGUGGAGCUCCUCCAUAGUGAGUCGGAAUUGCCGGCACCGAUGCGAUCGAGGGGGCAGGUAAGGCUCCUCCUCCCGGGCAAUCUCGAAUGAAGUGCCCCGGCUGCCCACACUUGUAGCACUUGCCUCGGCCUUGCUCACAACGCGAGACCGGGUGGUCUCCGCCGCACACAAUGCAUCGCCGCGCUCUACCGCCCUUCUGUUGAGUGCGCGGAUACUUCGGGGGUCUCUUGUAACGUAUCUGUCCUCCCGAACUACCACCGCCUUGGCGUUUCUUGCCCUUGUCCUUAGACUCGGCCAAAGCCUCACGCUUCUCCCGAACGUGGGCAUCUCUGUGCUCCGCCCAUAGGGCUCGAUCGAAGACCUCCGCAAAGGUCAUGAGCUUAAGUAUUUGCACGACCUUAUAGAUUCUCGGCCGAAGUCCUCGCAAGAACCACUUGGCCCGGUCCUGGUCAUCCUUUACAACAUCCGGGACACAGUCUAUGAUAUGGGAGAAUUCCUGUUCAUACUCCGCCAGUGAGCGGUCCCCUUGCUCGAGCUUGCGAAACUUCUCCUUGAGCUUCCGCUUCAACAUGUCGGGGAAAUAGUUGGCGAACAUUUCCCGCUUGAAUUCUUCCCACAGCAUUGGCGAAAGGCCGGGAAGCCGAUCCCGUUUGACGCGCUUCCACCAAACUUUCGCCGCCUUUUCCAAGCAAUGGGUAGCGAGAUACACCUUGUCCCUCUCCAAGGUACGCAAGUCAACGAAGAGGGUUUCCAUCGAGUCGAUCCAAGACUCGACUAUCUCCGGUUCCACCUUCUUGCCCUCGAUGGUUGGUGGAUGGAACUUGUUGAACUUGAUAAGAGCCGCCAAUGCGCGCUCUCCCUCCACGUCUUCAGCCGACACAUCGGGGGUAGCCGAUCCGGAUGCCGCCUGUGGUACGAUCGCUGGCGGUGGGCGUGCCGUAGCUGGAACCGCCGCUAUGCCCUCACCCUCUGCCACUCCAGGUACGUGAGGCGGGGGUGUGGGCGGACCACCGCCUUCAUUUGCCGUCGCAGCCGCCGCCGCGAUCUGCUGCUCCAAUAGAUCCUGGAGCCGCUCGAAUCUGGUCUCCUGGCGCUGCACCACACUGGUCAGCGCGGUCACUUGUGCUUGCAACCGAUCCAUCACGCUCGGUUCCUCCUGCUCGGGCACCUCAGGAGUCGGUGCUGGGGCAGUCCUACGCGUGUAGCGUCUUGGAGACAUUGGUCCCUGAAACGCAAGUACUCGGUCAGUCAUCUUAACCAAUUACUUCGUCGCAAUUACGACACAUGACGACUCAACAACAAAAUCGGGCGGAAGCACACAAGUGCACUCGUUCUAGGCUCUUGGUAUCAUGUCGUCGGCCACCGACACAACCACCUCAAGACAAGAACUCAUACCACUUGAGUCCGUCUCUAAUCACAACUAGAGAUAUAUUACCAAUUUCGACCCAAUCGAAUUAACUUCCGCCAUCGCUAUAGGUUCACGUUCCGCUCACGCACCUAUAACCUUAGAGCUUACCAAUCUAGGGUCUCCUAGGUCAGCCUAGACUCUCUCUUUACUUGCUCUUAUCGCUCUGAUACCACAACAGCUGUCACGCCCCGCCCCGAAACAACUACCAAUUUGGCACGGUUCGGCCGCGACGGCGGGCCACCGAAUAGACAGCACCUCCCCGUCCGCCCAAGGCUCAACAACAGGAAUGUGUACAAGAAUUUACCCAGAAAAUUAAAUUCUAAACAUACACAUUCACAAGGGCACAAACAGUGCCAACAAUACAAAGAGCAAGCAAUCCACAAGACAAAACAAGUGAAAUAAAGAGAGUAUUUUACUAACUAUUACAAUAGUUCCAUCAUUUUCAUUUACAUCAUUUUCUUUAAAUGAAUAUAUUUUUCAUCUCCAAAAUACAUAGCUCUCCAAGUCCUCACCUACAAUGAAUCUCUCUCAUUACAUAGGUGUGCUAAUGCAAAAAGGAAAGCUGCUAUACUACCACGGUCUCACUGAUCGGGCACGAUGCCCUUGCUGCGGUCCUCCUUCGGCAGUCCUGUACCUACCACUGGAAUUAGAGUGGGGUGAGAACUAUCUUCCAUAGUUUCUAGUGGGCUCGGCCGCCGACUCUGCUGAUCUCCUCAUUAGGUCCAAGUGGGCACAAGUAACAACAGAUAGAUAGAUAGAUAUAUAUCUAAAAACUAUAAAUGCAAUAGUAGGAAAACUAUGCUACUAUGCCCAUAAUCAUGAAUAUGAAUGCAUGCAUCAUAUAAUAAAGGUUUGCUAUCAUGCUAACGAAUUCGAUCCAUGUUCGAAUAGCAAUGUUCAAUAACAUUAUUAAACCUUUAACUUUCCAUUUACCCAAUCUGUGGCGAGGCCCUAGGGCUCACCUAUAACUUACCCUUCAAUCCCAAAGUGGGGAGGGAGCUCCAAGUGCACCCAAGCCCGGAACCGUCUGCGGACCUCCAUGUGGUCCGGACCUCCAAGUGGUCCUAGUCGUGCGACACUCCGGAGUACUCGACGACAAUCCCCUCCAUGUGGCGAUUGGAUGGCUAUACCAUCCCAAACGCAGACUGUGAGCUAGGUCUAUCCUCUCCAAGUGAGGAUGCCCUACCUCUAGGGUCAACAACUCAAUCAAGUCCUCCCCAAGUGAGGAUGAUCUAUCACUAGGGUCCACAACCCAAUCAAAUCCUCUCCAAGUGAGGAUGCCCUACAACUAGGGUCAACAUCUCUCGCGGGAUCAUUUGUUCCCGAUAUUCAUGCAAUGCUAUUUAGCUUUUCUAAAUUCAUUGUUCACAAGGCAUUUUCUAAGGGAUCCNNNNNNNNNNNNNNNNNNNNNNNNNNNNNNNNNNNNNNNNNNNNNNNNNNNNNNNNNNNNNNNNNNNNNNNNNNNNNNNNNNNNNNNNNNNNNNNNNNNNUACUCGACGACAAUCCCCUCCAUGUGGGGAUUGGAUGGCUAUACCAUCCUAAACGCAGACUGUGAGCUAGAUCUAUCCUCUCCAAGUGAGGACACUCUACAACUAGAGUUAAUACCCAAUCGAAUCCUCUCCAAGUGAGGACGCCCUACACAAGGGUCAACGACUAUCGCGGAAUCAUCGGUUCCCGACAUUCAUGCAAUGCUAUUUAGUUUUCUAAAUUCAUUGUUCACAAGGCAUUUUCUAAGGGAUCCUCCUAUCCCUAGGUCCAUCGACCUCUAGUGUUCUUUACACUACAUUAAUGCCACUCGUUAUCAUUCCAUGUUCGGAUGCCACUCGUUUGUUCUUUGACAAUAACACUACUUUCUAUGUCAUCAACGCCCCCGUCGGGUUCAUCUCUAGCUCUAGCAUCAUAGGAUUCACGUCUCGACCCAAUCCUCACCUAUCUAAGUUACCAAGCGUUCCAAGUACACUAGGUUAUCAUUUAGAAAGCAUAAGGAUAGAGCUACUAUGCAAUCCUACAAUGCAACAUGUAAGAGAUGAGAUUAAAUGCAAUCUAAGACAUAGAAAGGAGUUCGAAAGUUUCGGAUGACACCCCCCACCUUUAAUCGAUGUAGAGGCUUGGAAAGUCCUUCUCGGCGAGCUUCGCAAAAAGGCUUUAGCCUUCCUCACCCGAAUCAAUGCUAGCCCGGCCCAAUCUUGCCGAGAACUUCACGUCGGUUCGCCGAAUGCCAAAAUCGACUUCGCCCCCGCGUUUUGGGACCUAUCAAUAGGGUUUCCAAGGCUUCAAAUGAGAUCAAUCUCAUACUUUUACAAAAACCCCAUUUUGGAACCCUAGAUUUGCACCUAUAGCAAAUCACCCCCAUAAAUCCCUAGAUUCUUGGGAUUGAUCUAUUUAGAAGCUUGCUUAGGGUCCAUUUGACCCAUUCCAAAGCAUAAAAUCCAAGAACCCUAAGUUCUAGAAGCUAGGGUUUAGUAGCCUACCUCAAGAGCUACCCCAAUGGGAAGAGGAGAGGGAGAUGGAGGUGCUCAAAGCCUCCCUCUUGAUCUCCUUCUUCUUCUCCUUCCUUAUCUUCCUCUUCUUCUUCUUCCUCUCCUUCUUCUUCUUCUUCUCCUUCUUUCCUUUCUAGAGAGAGAAAGAGCAAGAGAGAAAUGAGAGUGAGAGAGAGUGGAAUGAGAGAGUGUGAGGGAGAGAGAGGGCUCAGCCCACUCAAAUAAAUGCCAUUUUGCACAAAAGCCCCUCAACUUUCACCCCUGUGCACUGCCCUUACUGGGCAGUUUUCGCGCGGAGAGACCGGUCUCCCCGACUUGGGACCGGUCCCCGAGAGCUUCCCUCGGGCGCACGCGUUCGGGAACCGGUCUCUCCCCGGGAGACCGGUCCUCGGGAGACCGGUCCUCACCUGAGAGACCGGUCCCCGAGAGCUUGAUUUUCAGGACUUAGCCAAUUUUUGGCAUCUCUCGCUGGGACCACGUUCGGGAACCGGUCCCUCCCUGCCAGGGACCGGUUGCAUCACGCAACCCCGCUACACCCAGCCAGGGGAACCGGUCUCUCACCUGCAGAGACCGGUCCCCGAGAGCAACAUCAGCCCAAUGAUGCAGUUUGCCUCAUUUGCUCUCGCGGACUCAACUCCAAGGCACUUUUUGUGCUUUGGACAUUCUCAACUCCCACAAAGGGUAUACUUUCGACAAUUAGUCGAUCCUGGAUGAAGUACAAUCCUCGUAUUUCGAGAAUUCACUUCCUUACAUCCUCCCCUCCUUAAAAGGAGUUUCGUCCUCGAAACGAACAAUUUUCCUAACUUUUAUUUAAACUCAUACCUCACUCCUCAAAUAGAUGAGGAUGGUGUUUUCUCAUCAGAUCCUCGAGUUCCCAGGUGGCUUCGCGAUCAUCAUGAUUGCUCCACCUAACCUUCACAUAGGGGAUUUCUCGAUUCCUCAACUUUCGCACCUCUCGGGCGAUAAUCCCUACCGGAAACUCUUCAUAGCUCAAGUCUUCUUGAAGUUCCGGCGGUUCAUAUAGCAUUGCGUGCUCGGGGUCGUGAAUGUACUUGCGGAGAUUGGAGACAUGGAACACAUUAUGUACGUCCGCAAGCUUCGGCGGUAGAGCAAGUCGGUAGGCCACCGUGCCGACUCGCUCUAAUAUCUCAUAUGGUCCAAUAUAUCGGGGACUUAGCUUUCCCCGCACUCCAAACCGCUUCACACCCCGCAUGGGUGAAACCUUCAAGAAUACGCGGUCACCCACCGCGAAUUCUAUAUCUCGACGGCGCCUAUCCGCAUAACUUUGUUGUCUUGACUGCGCCGUGAGCAAUCUCUUGCGAGCAAGGCGGACUUUCUCCUCCGCUUCUCGCAACACAUCCGGGCCGAACUCCGCACGCUCGCCAACAUCGCUCCAGUGUAUAGGAGAUCGACACGUCCGCCCGUAAAGAGCCUCGAACGGUGCCAUCUCCACACUAGCAUGAUAACUGUUGUUGUAGGCGAACUCGGCCAUAGGUAGGUGGUCACAUCAACUUCCCUUAUAGUCAAUGACACACGCUCGCAACAUAUCCUCCAGAGUUUGAAUUGUUCUCUCUGUUUGCCCAUCGGUCUGGGGAUGAAAUGCGGUGCUAAAAUCGACGAGAUAGUGAGACUGCAUGGGGUGCCGAAAUCGAUCGUGUCGGAUCGCGACCCCCGGUUCACUUCCCACUUCCCGGUUCACUUCCCACUUCUCACGAUCGAUUUCGGCACCCCAUGCAGUCUCACUAUCCCGCAACACCCAGCCGAGGGAACCGGUCUCUCACCUGCAGAGACCGGUCCCCGAGAGCAACUUCUGCCCAAUGAUGCCAUUUGCCUCAUUUGCUCUCGCGGACUCAACUCCAAGGCACUUUUUGUGCUUUGGACAUUCUCAACUCCCACAAAGGGUAUACUUUCGACAAUUAGUCGAUCCUGGAUGAAGUACAAUCCUCGUAUUUCGAGAAUUCACUUCCUUACAGACCGUGUAUUCUUGAGAGUAUCGCCGAUGCGAGGAGUCAAACGAUUCGGGGUCCGUGGGAAGCUAAGCCCCCGUUAUGUCGGACCGUUUGAGAUAUUAGAACGUGUAGGUGCGGUGGCGUACAAGCUCGCACUACCACCGAGACUCGCGGGAGUUCACAAUAUUUUCCAUGUGUCGAAUCUCCAAAAGUACAUCCGAAACGCGACACAUGUAUUAGAGUACGAGCCCGUGGAGCUACGUGAAGACAUGUCCUAUGAGGAGUACCCCGUGUGCAUCCUCGAUAAAGAGGUUAGGAAGUUGCGGAGUCGCAAGAUUCCGUAUGUAAAAGUUCAAUGGAACAACCACGCGGCGCGAGAAGCCACUUGGGAGCUCGAGGAAACCAUGCGGCGAGAGUAUCCGCGUCUGUUUAAAUCGACGAGUUAAGGUAUGCGUAAUUUCGCGGACGAAAUUAUUUUAAGGGGUGGAGAAUGUAAUAUACCGAAAAUUCGGAAAAUAGAAAUGUCGAACUUUAGUCAAAUUGACCAAAGUGCGAGAACGGUACACUUCGGAAAGUCCGAAGGUGUUAAAACGGUUAAAAGUGAGUUACGGGAGGUUUUCGAGAGCUAUAGAAUCAAAUCUGCAAAACUGCAGAUUUUGAGCUCUCGGGGACCGGUCCCUGGUGAGAGAGACCGGUCCCCGAACGCGUAUGAAACAAGACAGCCGAAAAAUCGGCUAAGUCCUGAGAAACCAGCUCUCGGGAACCGGUCCCCGAGAGACCGGUCCCACCAGGGAGAGACCGGUUGCACUGCGCGCAGCAGCUCUGGCUGCGCUGGGACGACGUUCGGGAACCGGUCCCUGAAGGAGAGACCGGUCCCUGCCUGCGCGGAAUGCCCAGUUCGGGCAGUGUAUUAAAGUGAAAGUUGAGGGGUUUAGCUGCAAUUUUGCAACCCAAUAGGCUAUGUAUUGGGGUAAAUGAGAGAUUUCUCUCAUUUCUCACCCUCUCACACUCUCUCCUCUAUUUCUCUCUCUAGAAGACAAAGAAGGAGGAGAAGAAGGCAAAGGAAAAGAAAGGAAAAGAAGACAAAAAGGGUGAAGAAGAAGCUUUUGGAGCAAAGAGGCUUCAUCUCCUUCUUCUCUAGUGCAAGAAAAGGAAGCUUACAAGGUAAGCUUUGAACCCUAAUAUAGUAAAACCCUAGAAAUGGGUUUGAAUGAACCUAGAGAUGGUUUCUAGUGGAAUAUCUAGUAGUUUGAAACUUUCUUUUUGCUCUUUUAGAGAUCAAAACCAUGGUUGAGCUCAAGGUGAGCUUCAACCCACCUCUAAUGGUGAAAUCUAAUCUAGGGUUUUGGAAAGCCUAAGAAUGAUUCUAAUGGACUAUUUAGAGUAUAGUGAAGCUACUUUUGCGUCCCAAAGAGAUCAAACCCUAGGUUUUGAUAUACAUUGGAGCUAGGGCACCCAAAUUGGGGCUUUUGCUCAUAGGGGUUUCUAAGUGCAAUUGACCCUCUAGAAACCUAAUUGGGGGUAUUUCCGACGUGUUGGUGCGCUCGGAAUAGCAUUACGAAAAGUCUGUAGAAAGAUAUGGGCAAAAUGGCCUAAUAAGGGUUCGUUUUGUCGCAGGUAAAGAACGAAGCAUCUAAAAAUCCCAAGGAAAUCAUCGGAGCACCUUUGAAAGCCUACGAGGUGGGUGGUGCUUCUCAAACUCAUUGAACUUCUCUCUAUGCCUAAUGUAUCAUUCUUUUGAGCAUAUAUGUAUAUAUUGUUGCAUGCAUAUUAGGGUAAAGUGAUGAUAAAAAUGUAAUGUUGCAUGAUUGUGAGUACAACUUGCAUAAUAUGAUGAAUGAGAACUAUGUGAUGUCGAAAACCCUAUGUGUAUGCAUGAGAGAAAAGUGAGCACCCAAAGUGAGCAAAAGAACAGAGUGACACAAUGACAUAGAUUGAGUGGCAUUUGAAAGCGUAAAGUAAAGUGACACUAGAGUCAGUGUGAGCCAAAGAACUAAAGUGAUGUAAAGAAUGACGAAAAUGACAAUGUGUAAAGUUAAAAGUGAAGUGGGGCAAUGAGAACGAGAAAUGUAGAGAACAAGAAUGCUAAAGUUGGCAAAAGUAAAGGAAAUGUAAAGAAUGUGAUUGCAUGAGUUUGCAACAUAAAGUGAUGCAAUGAACACUAAAGCUAGUGUAAAGUCAAGAUUGAACAUACAAUCCUUUGAGUUAAGGAUUCCGAUCAUGCUUGCUAUGAGUUCCGUGCUCGAGGGCGGUCGCUCCCCCUCGGGCGAUGCGCUCCGGAGUUAUGCAUCACGGGUUGGAGUAAACCCGAAGGACGGUCCUAGCAGGUGAGUUCCUGCGAUGAUGGACUUAAUGUGAAGCAAGUCAAUGUGGCGAUACCCCCGGGUUAGCCUUGAGAUUAAAGAACAAAGAGCAAAGAACAAAGAGCAAAGUAUAAAGAACAAAGAGCAAAUGUAAAGAUAAAGAACGAAAGAAUUUGCAUAAUCUGCAUAUAUUUAAUGUUGAGCUUAUUUCUUGCUAUUUGUUCAGGCAUAUUAGCAUCAUGUUAUAGAUUGGUUACUAUAUCCUACUUAUCCUUUCUAUUAUGCCUGAGUUAGUCCUAGUGGGAAAGUCGGUGAUGUUGAGGCCGAACCCACUGGGAACUUCGUUGUAGUUCUCACCCCACUAUUUCCACAGAGCCGGGACCGAGCGAGCCGGCGAGCGACCGAGGUAAAGGUAUCGCGCCUUAGUCAGAGGCCACCAAAGUUGGGAUACAUUUUGUUAGUAGCUACCCCAUGUUCAUCUUUUGUAUUUGAUGAUUAGUAAUGUAAAGAAAAGAAUGUAAAGCUUAUUUUGAGGUAAAUGUGAUGUAAGAAAGAAGUGAUGAAAUUAUGUAAUGAAAUGCAAAGAAUCCUAAAUGUAAGAGAUGGAUGCAAUGUAUAUGAUCUAAAAUGAAUCAUAUUACUUGUGAAUGUUUAGUUUCCUUUUUCUUUCACUAAUGGCUACUGCUUACCUUCGUGUAAGCCGUUUGUGUAUGUUUCCGCUAGUGCACUUCUUAUUGAAAAUGUACAUGUGAUGAGCCUUGGGCGGAUAGGGAAAACUCUGUCCGUUCGGCGUCUGUUUGACGUGCUCGGGUCGGGCCAAAUUGGCAUCGGCCCCGAGGCGUGACAGAGGUUGUGAGACUUCAUGGGGUUCCAGUGUCGAUCGUGUCGGAUCGCGACCCCAGGUUCACAUCCCACUUUUGGAAGAGUUUGCAAGACGCGCUAGGCACACGGCUCGACUUCAGUACAGCGUUUCAUCCUCAAAGUGAUGGACAGUCGGAGCGAACAAUACAAAUCCUUGAGGAUUUACUUCGAGCGUGUGUGCUAGAUUAUAAAGGAGGAUGGCAUGAUUUCUUGCCUAUGGCGGAGUUCGCCUAUAACAAUAGUUAUCAGGAAAGCAUAGCGAUGGCGCCUUUUGAGGCACUAUAUGGACGUAAGUGUCGUUCUCCUAUCCAUUGGAGCGACGUGGGCGAGAGAACGGCUCUUGGCCCGGAUGUGGUGCGGGAGGCGGAAGAGAAAGUUCGCCUUGCUCGUCAACGGUUGGCGAUGGCGCAAUCUCGGCAAAAGAGUUAUGCCGACAAGCGAAAAAAGGAUUUGGAGUUUGCGGUUGGAGAUCGUGUAUUCUUGAGAGUAUCGCCGAUGCGAGGAGUCAAACGAUUUGGGGUCCGUGGGAAGCUAAGUCCCCGUUAUGUCGGACCGUUUGAGAUAUUAGAGCGUGUGGGUGCGGUGGCGUAUAAGCUCGCACUACCACCGAGACUCGCGGGAGUUCACAAUGUGUUUCAUGUGUCGAAUCUUCGAAAGUAUAUUCGGAACUCGACACAUGUAUUGGAGUACGAACCUGUGGAGCUACGUGAGGAUAUGUCCUACGAGGAGUACCCGGUGUGCAUCCUCGAUAAAGAAGUGAGGAAGUUGUGAAGUCGCAAGAUUCCAUAUGUAAAAGUCCAAUGGAGCAACCACGCUGUGCGAGAAGCCACUUGGGAGCUCGAAGAGUCAAUGCGGAGAGAGUAUCCGCAUCUAUUUGAAUCGACGAGUUAAGGUAUGCGUAAUUUCGCGGACGAAAUUAUUUUAAGGGGUGGAGAAUGUAAUAUACCGAAAAUUCGGAAAAUAAAUAUCGAACUUUAGUCAAAUCGACCGAAGUGCGAGGAUGGUACACUUCAGAAAGUCCGAAGGUGUUAAAAUGAUUAAAAGUGAGUUACGGGAGGUUUUCGAGAGCUAUAGAAUCAAAUCUGCAUUCUGCAGUUUUGAGCUCUCGGGGACCGGUCCCUGGUGGGAGAGACCGGUCCUCGAACGCGUAUGAAGUGAGACAGCCGAGAAAUCGGCUUAGUGCUGAGGAAUUAGCUCUCGGGAACCGGUCCCUGCCUGAGAGACCGGUCCCCGAGAGACCGGUCCCACCAGAGAGAGACCGGUCGCAUUGCGCUCAACAGCUCUGGCUGCGCUGGGAGAGCUCUCGGAGACCGGUCCCUAGUCGGGGAGACCGAUCCCCGAGCCCGAAAUCUGCCCAGUCCAGGCAGUUGAAUAAGAUGAAAGUUGAGGGGUUUAUUAGCAUUUUUGCAACCCAAUGGUUAUGUAUGAGGGACAUGAGGGCUUUUCUCUCAUUCCACUCCCUCUCACACUCUCUCCUCUCUUUCUCUCUCUAGAAUACAAAGAAGGAGAAGAAGAAGACAAAGGAAAAGAAGGAAAGGAGGGUGGAGGAGAAGCUAUUGGAGUGAAGCCACUUCAUCUUCUUCCUCUCUAGUGCAAGUUAGGGAAAGCUUUGAGGUAAGCUUCAACCCUAAUCAUGCUAAAACUCUAAUGUGAGAGCCAAGUGACCUAGGAAUGGUUUUUAAGGAGUUUUUAGAGUAAGUGAAGCUUUUCUUUUGCUUCCUUUGAGAUCAAGACCAUGGGUUUGGUGUUGGAGGUAAAGCUUGAAGGAGAGCUUGACCCCUCUCAUGGUGAAAUCCAAACUAGGGUUUGGAAUGAGCUAGGAAUGGUUUAGAUGAACUCUUUAGAGUAUAUUGAAGCUACUUUUGCUUCUCUAUGAGAUCAAACCCUAGGUUUGAUGAUGCUAUAGAGCUAGGGCACCCAAAUUGGGGCUUUUGCUCAUGAGGGUUUCUAAGUGCAAUUGACCCUCUAGAAACCUAAUUUGGGGUAUUUCCGACGCGUUGGUGCGCUCGGAUUAACGUUACGAAAAGCCGAUGCAAAGUUAUGGCCAAAUAAGCCUAAUUUGGCUUCGUUAUGCCGCAGGUAAAGAACGAAGGGUCUAAAAAUCCCAAGAAAAUCAUCGGAGCACCUUCGAAAGCCUACGAGUUGGGUGGUGCUUCUCAAACUCGUUGAACUUCCCUCUAUGCCUAAUGUGUCAUUCAUUUGAGCAUAUAUAUAUAUAUGUUGUUGCAUGCAUUUUAGGGUAAAGUGAUGAUGAAAAUGUAAUGUUGCAUGAUUGUGAGUUCAACUUGCAUAAUAUGAUGAAUGAGAACCUUGUGAAUGUUAGAACCCUAUAUGUAUGCAUGAGAGAAGAUGUGAGUGCUAAAGUGAGCCAAAAGAACCGAGUGGCACAAUGACAUAGAUCGAGUGGCAUUUGAAAACGUAAAGUAAAGUGACACUAGAGUUAGUAUGAGCCAAAGAACCAAAGUGAUGUAAAGAAUGAUGAAAAUGACAAUGUGUAAAGUUAAAGUAAAGUGGGGCAAUAAGAACGAGAAAUGUAAAGAACAAGAAUGCUAAAGAUGGCAAAAGUAAAGAAAAGUAAAGAACAACGUUUGCUAGAGUGGCAACAUAAAGUGAUGUAAUGAACACUAGAGCUAGUGUAAAGUCAAGAUUGAACUUAUAAAUCCUUUGAGUUAAGGAUAUGAUCAUACUUGCUAUGAGUUCCGUGCUCGAGGGCGGUCGCUCCCCCUCGGGCGAUGCGCUCCGGAGUUAUGCAUCACGGGUUGGAGUAAACCCGAAGGACGGUCCUAGCGGGUGAGUUCCUGCGAUGAUGGACUUAAUGUGCAGCAAGUUAAUGUGGCGAAGCCCCCGGGUUAGCCUUGAGAUUAAAGAAUAAUGAACAAAGAGGAAAGAACAAAGAACAAAGUGUAAAGAUAAAGAACGAAAGAACUUGCAUAAUCUGCAUAUGUUAAUGUUGAGCAUAUUCCUUGCUUUUGUUCAGGCAUAUUAGCAUCAUGUUGUAGAUUGGUUACUAUAUUUCAGCUUAUCCUUUCUAUUAUGCCUGAGUUAGUCCUAGUGGAAAAGUCGGUGAUGUUGAGGCCGAACCUACUGAGAACUUUGUUGUAGUUCUCACCCGACUAUUUCCACAGGGCCGGGACCGAGCGAGCCGGCGAGCGACCGAGGUAAAGGUAUCGCGCCUUAGUCAGAGGCCACCAAAGUUGGGUUUCAUUUUGUAGUAAAGUAACCUAUGAUCAUCUUUUGUACUUGAUGACUAAUGAUGUAAAGAAAAGAAUGUAACGUAUAUUUUGAGAUAAAUGUGAUGUAAGAAAGAAAUGAUGAAAUGAAAUGUAAGGAAUUCGAAAAUGAACAAGAGAUGGAUGCAAUGUAUAUGAUCUAAAAUGAAUCAUAUUACUUGUGAAUGUUUAGUUUCCUUUUUCUUUCACUAAUGGGUAUUGCUUACCUUCGUGUAAGCCGUUUGUGUAUGUUUCCGCUAGUGCUUUUCUCUAUUGAUGAAAAUGUACAUGUGAUGAGCCUUGGGCGGAUAGGGGAAACUCUGUCCGUUCGACGUCUGUUUGACGUGCUCGGGUCGGGCCAAAUUGGUAUCGGUCCCGGGGCGUGACACCUGUGGGGCUAUAAGUAGGGAUUGUGAGUUAGUAGUACUUGUUGGUGGGUUAGAUUCUAACCUUGUGGACCCUUCGUAGGUCCGGUUGUUAUUUCCUCCGCUGUCGGAAGAUUUAUACCGUAUUCGUACAGGUGGGUACUUCGACCCGAAGUCGGUACAGUGGUGCACGCUCGGUGACAUUUCUUUCACUCCUUCAUUGUUUUUUAUAUUGCAUAUUAUAUAUAUUGAGCCUUGCGCCCAUAUUAUUCCUGUAUUACUCUACUCGGUUGUUUCCAUGUUUAGUAUCAUGAGUAGGAGUAGAGUAGAUUUAUCUGCAUGUGAUAUCUGUGACUUGGUUGGUCGGUUCCCGUAUCUUAUAUCUGUGACCUGGUUGGUCAGUUUUCAUAUCUCGUAUCUGUGACCUAUUUGGUCGGUUCAUUGCAUUGUAUGGCGACCUACUUGGUCGAUUGAACUCCUUUGUGACUAUUCGGUUGGUGUGCCCUGAGGGGCAAGAUUGUCGGCUGGUUGCUGACGGUUGGCUUUUGAGCAUUCAGCAUUGAUUGCCCAUGCUCGUUCGCAUUUCACGAACACGAACGGUCUGAUCCACUGUAAGAGGGUGUUCUUUUUCGAAAAAGUGGUUGCAAGUGCCAACCUGUGAGCCUAAGUGGGAUUAUAUGCAUGUUAGAGUAGCAGUGGCACAGGCUUGAGGUUUGCAGUGCGGACCAAUAGAGCAUUUGUUUCAGAUUGGGUAUUUUUGGACUGGUCGUCCGGUUGAUGCAUGCAUACAGUAGCUGUAGUGUUUCAUAUAUAUACAUCUCGUUUACUUGUUUAUCAUGGCUACUGUAUUACCACUAUCUAUACCUUUGUUUGUUCUCCGUGACUAGUGAGUACCCCUCGCCCUCGUCGGCUUGCGGUACCCACUGGGAAGGGAGACAUGUUUACAUGUUCUCACCCCCCGCCCCCAUUACAGGUGAUGUCGCUAGUCCUAGUGGGAUGGUUCGUGAGGAGCGCUCGUAGUGGUUCGGUAGAGCUUUUGAACCCAUCCAUUGGUUUCAAUUCUAAACUCUAGUUUCCUUAAAUAAUUGAAUUAGACAGUUUAUAUGGUUCAACAUUUUAUUACUUUUGAAUUUGGGAUUUCAUGAAUGUAACAAUGAAUUUGGGAUUUUCGUGAAAUGGAAAUGGUUUUCUACCCCUCGUGGUAGCGAGUUUUAAAAAGAAAAGGUUUCUGUGUGGGAAACAGUUUUCAAAAGGUUUUCUCGUGGUUCUCAUGACUUAGUAUUUCAAAACAAGUUUCCGGGUAGGAAACAUUUUAAACUAAAGUUGUGGACCUUUGGAUAAACUCUGAAUGUGAAAAUGUUGGUGAAUGGUGUAUGAAUGUAUGAUUGUUGAUAUAUUCAGUUGUGGUGGUUGUGUUCUAUUAUGUACCUUGUAUUUAUGCGACGCCGUGCAGAUACAGGGGAGACUUUGUCCGUAUGAACAGUGGACUCCCUGCAUUUAUGGCGGAUCUAGCAUACCCUGGGUCAGGUUUUCAAAAAAAAAUUUAGACACUUCUGCUAUGUUUUUUUUAAACUAAAAAUGUAAGGUAUUAGAUCCUCGAUACGUGCGAAACCAAACUUUGGUCAGAAUUGACCAAAGUGCGGAGUUGAUCGCUUCGGAAUGCUUCGAAAAAAUCCGAACGCGUUGAGAUAGCUUCUAAGGGGUUUGUAGGACCUUAGUAAGCAUUGAAGUGAGGUGCUAACAAAAAAAGAAAAAAAAAAGAAAAGGGGUCUGAAUUUGCCUAGUUUGGGGGCAAUGUGUAACUUGACUUGUGGGGGUGUUUUCUGCAAUUUUGCAUAUAUGAGAGGGUAUAGAAGUGAGGUUUCUCUUCUCCUCUCUCAUUUCCCUCAUUUGACCUAAACCUAAGAGAAAAGAACUCUCUCUCUCUCUCUCUCUUUAAGCUCUCUUUCUCUCUCUUUAAGGGUGGAUCUAAGAGGAAGAUUUGGUGAAGAUUGAGGCAAAGAGAAGGAUUAUCAUCUUCUUCAUCUUCUUCCUCACCAUUGGAGCAAGCUAUUGAGGUAAGCUCUCACUACAACAAAACUAUGUUUUAGCGGCGAUUAUUUUUUAAAUUAGCGGCAAUUACAAUUGCCGCUAAAAUAUUUUGUGGCAAUUUUAACAAUUGCCGCUAUUGGCAGGGUCGCUAAAAGUUUUAGCGGCAUUUAUUCUGGCGGUUGGUAAAAAUCCAAAUAAAUGCCGCUAAAUAUUAUACAAUAACGACUAUUAUAAAUGCCGCUAAAUAGUAUGCAAUAACAACCAUUAGAAAUACCGCUAAAUAUUAUACAAUAACAAUUAUUAUAAAUGCCGCUAAAUAGUAUGCAAUAACAACUAUUAUAAAUGUCGCUAAAUACUAAACAAUAACAACUAUUAUAAAUGCCGCUAUAAUUAAUUAUAAUUGUCGCAAAAAAUAUACUAAAUGAUUGGUAAAUAAAGCUUAUAGCGGCAAUUAAAUUAAUAUUAAACUACUUGAUUAACAACUAAAUACUACAAUGAAUUGAUCAUAUCAAAUUUUUGAAAAAUAUGAAGGUCAUAACUCAUAACUCGAAUAAACUUUAGCUUCAGGAUACACCAGAGGCACCCAAGUCAUACUAGGGCUACUCAGCCCUUUUCUUUCCAUCACCUCUCGCUGCCUUCCGGUACAAAGACAAUUAUACAUGCCCAAAACAAUGAUCAGAGAAUAAAUUCUCUCUAAGUAAAACCAAUAAUCCAAAUAAUAUGCAAAUCUUGGUAAGAAAUUAGUUCGACAAAGCACACAGCCCCUCGUCAAGAAAUUACUGACUUAUUGCCUAUUAUAUUUGGCAAAUAGUGUGGCAUAAUAUUAAAGUAUCAUGAAACUGGAUUCUUCGUGUAAAAUACAAAUUUAUGAUACAACUACCCUUUAUGAUACAACUUCUCUUUAUCUUAGGGCGCAAGCCAACUAACCACUUCAUGUGAGAAAAGAAUACUCAUCGAAGCCAAUUCUCAACAGUUACAUCUAAGAGUAAAUUAAAGAUUUUAAGUUCUCAAUUCUUCAAAUUACAUCUCAGCAUUCAAAUACCAAUUUCAAACAUAAGUUCUAACAAAGAAUACUGUUCCCAAGUAAUUGGUAGCGAAACCAAGAACAUAAACAGGAAGCACCGCCAUGUUGACAAGGCUCUGCCUGUCCGUACUUGCAAUUUUCCGCAGCUCCAGCUUGUUCUGGAUCAAUCAAAAAGAAGUCUAAAAUCGAUUUUGUAGGUUGCCGAUUAUUUUAUGACAAUCGGUAACUAGAACUACGGUCAGUACCUGAAAACCUUGCAAGAAAUAUUAAGUCCAUGGAUUAAUUAACUACUUGCAACCUGUCAACAGGAAACAUACACAUAACCAUUCCCCCUGAUUAGAUUCAAGGUUCAAAGAUUUAUUAAAUAUUUAUAACUCAAUUGUCCCAUUUUAAUCUGUUAAUUUUCCAGGCAGGUUUUACUUACAAUAACGAGAAAUCGAACUUUAAACGAAAAAAAAAAAAAUCAUAACUGGAUGGUCUUUAUUCAUGGCACAAACCCUUUUAGAUUCAACUAGCAAAUAUUUUCCAAAACAAUGCUUACCUAGUGAAGAUACUUUUCUCACACCAGGUAUCUUAAGGUGGUUAGUGGAAGAUUUUCUUUUCCGACCAUUCAGGCCAUUGGUGUUCCUCUAAAUCAUAGGUAAAAUAUGCUUGCAAUUGAGGCCAAGAUAUAACUAAAACACAGUGAUCUUCCACGUUUAUCAGGCACACAGCAAGAUCAUUAUUAUGUCUCACAGUAAAUCAGGGACGUAUUGCAAAUUUUUAUCUGCAAGUAUAUUUUACUCCUUAUGUUCUCUUCUAGUAUUAUUGAAAGGCCGUGAAAAGAGCACCAACAAGAACAUAUUGAACAGUCACGAUGAACAGGGCAGGUUGAGUAACGUGAUACGCAUAGUAAUCAAGUUAAUUAACAAGAUGUGGCAUUUUAUUUCACGGGUAAAAAUAAUCUGUCCAAAGCACUUCCACUUUGUUUACUGAGGUAGGAGAACACCAUUUUUCGGGCUGAAUAGAAUACUCACUUUCCUUUUCCAUAACAAAUAAUGUUUUGGCUGGUUUCAUCAGAGUAAUUGCACAACUGGUGCACCACAAAAGUAGAAAAAAAAAAAUUAUUUACUAGUUUUACUAGGUUUGCUCCAUUUAGAAAGCCCAGAUACAACAUUCCUCUAGGUUAAAUCCUUCAGCAAAUCAUAGCAUACAGGAUGGAAGUAGAAAAUAAUUUGAUAGUGAAGGACUUCAUCAAAAAACGGGAGUCCGGACCGCCUCAGCUUGACAGUAAAUAGAAUUAGAUCUGGUGAAGCAAAGCUAACUGAAAUCGACUGUAAGCGGAGCCUGUAGACGUUCGUUCGAAACCCAACCCUUACCACCAGCACAAAUAAGAGGUGUAUAGAUGACAUCAAGCACUCCCUGAUGUCACAUCGCUUUACCCAUUUAAAAAUGCAAAUUCCUUUUCCCAACCAAUACUCUUCACUGCAAAACUACAAACAACAAUUUAGGCAGAAUUGUUGCUCCUUCCCAUUUUUGCCGACGUUCUUACGAUGUCUCGAUGUUCAUAUCGUCUAAAGAUACGUUACAUAUUCUGAAGAGCUCUUAAGAAACUUGUAAAACCUAGGGAUGACAAGAAUGCGAAUAACCUUUCACACUUUAUUAGUUGUAUAUCAUUCUUGUAGGUGGUGCUGACUAAUGACUUACACGAAAGUAAUACUUCGUCUCAGAAUUCGUAAAGAACAAUAGUAAAAGAAAAUUAAGCUGAGAUUUAAUGGAUCCUUUCAACCUACUUCAGUUAGAGAGCCCAAAUCGCCUUUUCCAACAAAAAUUGCUGUAUCCCAGUAAGAUUCAGAGACCACCCAGAAAUUAAUCAAGCAACUACACUGUCCAGCGCACUGCAAGGUUUCCUAACCCACAUUUUUUUGUGUUGUUUUAUGAUAGAUUUCUUGUCUCUUCAGGAACCAGAACCAGGUCGUCUACUUCAUACCCAAACGGGUGGGUUUAUCGCGAAGGUUCGAUGUAGCCCUUAAGCUCCAUUGACUUUGUUUAUCUGUUGAGGAAUGAAGCAUGUCCCAGUUUACUAGUCACUGCAUUAUACAGCAGACGGCCCAGUACCCAUUCAGUAAGUGUUAUUAAAAGACAUAAAAUAUUGCAUCUGAUAGCUAGCCCUCUUGACAACAGAGGCCCUAAUUGAUUAACGUUAUAUCAACUUUUUGCAUCUAUUAAAGGUCGUUUGAGCGAUGUCGAAAUUAGAAGGAGGGCACGGCAUGUAAGCAGCUGAUAAAGAGAAUAAAGUGUUUGGUGCCAUUGUCUCUGUUUGGUAAAUUGGUUUGAUAAAUUAAUUAACUAACUAAUUAAUAAAUAAUUAACUCAAUUAAGGGACCCUUCUUCCUAAGCUGCUUUUUCCUUGGCUGCCCCUCUAUUUCUGUGCAGCCUUCUUAGUAUCUGCCAGCAUACACAAGAUGAAGAAUGAGUCAGAUUCACCAAGAUUUUUUUUUAUAUUAAAGCUGCAGCCAAUUGGUGUGUGGUGAGUGUCUUAUAUCUUUUAUUAUAAAGAAAAAAAAAAUAUAAAUAGGGAGAUUAUUAAUACCAUGGGCAUAUUGUUUGCCUAUAUAUUAAUUAGUAGUGCUACUCACUUUGAUCAAGGUUCUGGGAAACUUCUGCUCUGAACUAAGAUGUUGUUGUCCUUCAUUCCUCCCCCUCUGCUUUCCCACCAAUAAAAGAACAACAAUAAUUAGAAAAUUAAAAUUUAAAAAUUAAUAAGAAAGGUAGUUUCUUGAGUAAUAGGGUAAUAAUAAAAGGAGAGAAGGGAGACGUUGAUAGAUGGUCGAGGUGGAGUUUGACUGAUGCCGGGCGAGCGGGGUUCGCGGCACCGCGCGCUGGGGGCGCCGCGCUGCGAGACGGAGAAGGAGGAGCCUUGAUUGGAUGUUGUUUUGCGUGUAUCCCGUGGUCCUGUUUUCUUAGAAUGAGAAUGAAUUGCCCGACGGACAUGUCAAGAGGGACCAGAAACCUGCAUUUAAACAUACAACUUAGGUAUUGUAAAGGGGCAUAUACAUGUAUAUCUCUACAUACACCUACGAAUAUACCCAUAUAUGAAGGUUGGGAACCAUCAGAUUCACAGGGCCAAGUCGGUUGGAAAAAGUUUCCUUGACAAUACAGUUUGCUUAAAGCAGAGAAAGAUAAUCACAAGGGACAUAACGAUUCCAUCUUAACAAAAUAAUGAAGAAUGACUAUAUAAGAGCAGCAACAACACAAGGAGAACAAAAAAAAAAAAAAAGAAAACAAAAAGGAAGCAGAUUACUGCUGUAUUGCAAAGUCUAAGUAGUGACAUACUUCCUCUUCUCCAUCUCUGGAAUAUAGUCCUUGAAAAUCUCUCAACAACAACCUUGGAAAAGACAAUUACGGAAAAAUAAACUAGGUCAGCGUCCAAUAAUAGUUACUUCAUUGAUGCAAAAGGACGCAUUCAAUUGAGGGAUGAAAAAGAUCGAGUGGUUUCACAGCAUACAACAAAAUGGCAAUAUCUAUGCGACUCAAUUGUUACUCGUCAUGAAAAGUAUAUCUAAGCACAACCAGCAACAUCUGUUAAUCACAGUCACACAAGGCACGCAUCUACAGUUAGUGGGGCUAUUCAGCUUGUUUACGCAUCUAGAACCCCAGAAAAAAUUUUGAUUUACGUAUAACAAGCAUAGUAUAUGGUCAAAGCUUCUCGUCAACAUGAGUCAAAGCAACGGUGCUAUUAAAGGAAAUGCCUCCAGUCUUUUUCUUUUUGAAAUAUAUCUGUGUAAAUAUGAACAAGAUAUUUGAAAAACACAUUAGGUACAACGUAAAUUUUGAUUUACGUAUAUUUACAUAAAUAAAUACAUAAACGUAUGGAAUCAGAAGGUUGACAAUUAAGAAGAAAAUAAAUAAAUAAUUAUACAAGUAUGCCCAAAAUACAUUUCUAGUGGCUAAUUGGCUAUAUAACAAGCAUAGUAUAUGGUGCAAUACAGCACAUACAGCAUCCCCUCCCCCCAACUAAACUACCCAAACCAAGAAAAAAAAAAAAAUUCCAAUAUCAACUAGCCAAAUUCCCCAAAUGUCAGUUAACCCAAUCACUCGCUUUCACAUAAACCAAGUCCACGUCAAGCGUUUUCCUAAGUCCUUAGGGUCUCCAAACCUAUGGUUCCUAGGUCAUUCCUAGACUUUUGCUUUCAACUUCGCUCUGAUACCAUUAUAUCUGUCACGCCCCAAUCCCCGCCAAUUUGGUCGGGUUCGGGUCGCGUCAACAGACGCCGAACGGACAGAGCCUCCCCUGUCCGCCCAAGGCUCUAACAAUACAUAUAAUUAAGCAAUUAACGAGAGAAUUGCAUAUAUAAUACAAGGCUUACUCGAGGGCAAGCAACAACGGAAGCGAAAGUUCUAAGCUAAAUAUACAACACACAUGAUAUUUGAUUUCUUAUGACUAAAUUCAAGUAAUAAUACUAAUUCACAAUUCCAUGACGAUGCCAUCCAUAUCUGUCAACGUCCGCUAUGUUUUUUGCUCGUGUAAUCUAUUCCAAUUGGUCGAUACGGCCCGCACAACAGACGCCUAGAACACAGCACCUCCUCUGUUCGCCCAAGGGCUCAAACAACAGUAAUGAUAAUACAGAAAUAAAUAAUAUCAGGAUCACAUAUCAAUCAUACAUGGCUUCAGAAGCAAGCACAAACACAGAUGAAGAAACUAUGUACAAAAAUCCAAUGAUUUAAAACCUACAUAACUGAGACCAUUAUUAUUACAUCUUUUUAUACAUUCAGAUUACAUGUUCUGUACAUCAAUGUAUGAUAAUAACUCAAAAUGGUAAUGCUAACCUGUGCAGCUAGCUAAGCUGCAGGCCUUGCUCGAUCUCGCCACAACGCUCAGCACUGGAACCUGUUAGGGUUUAUGGUGUGAGAACUACAAGAGUUCCCAGUUGGGUUUUCCGCGUUCUGCCGAUCAUGCGACCACCACUAGUCUACUCAGCAUAUGUAGGCAAAAAAGUAAGCAGAUAGUAACCAACUAUAACAUGUAACUACUCAAUCUGUAAGCCAAAGUGAAAAGAAUAACAAGAUAUAAAAACUGUAAAUAUGCAGAUACUUCAUUAAAUUACACAUCUUUUGUUACCUCUGGUUAUCAGCUGGACAAUAGUUAGCACUGGCAAGUACGUUACUCCUAAAUUACCACAAUUCCAGUGGUUUAACCCUUUGUUAACAAUAACUCACGCAACGAAAUCCCUCACGGGCCCUAAGCUGCCCUCCGAGAACGCUGCGCAGUAGUAUAUCCUGCUAAUACGUAGCCAACAAUGAUACUUCCGAGCUCACUGCUGAGGAGCCCACCACGAACCAAGAAAAGACUAUUUGAUAAGAUCUUAUCCCCCUUUAGAGGAUCAACUACAGGUAUCCAACAUAACGUCAACAAUUAAACUAACUAUUACUUAUACUAUUUCAAUAAUGCAUUUCCUCAGAGUCUCAACCAAAUCUCUAAUAAUGUUAUCACAAUUUACCUAUUGCUUGUUCCUUUCAAAUUCGUUCAUACUCUCCUUAGGUCUAUGUCCACAUCUACCAGAAGUUCACAAUUCAUACUGUUGAUAGUAAUUUACAUUUCACUCGCACAAUGCAAAAACAACUUUAUAAUCAUGACUAAUAAAUAACAAAAUAUGCUCAUAUAGCAUAGACUAAAGUAUUCAAGAGUCGAUACACACUUCACCUGAUGUGUCACAUCAACUAAGAUAGGUCCGGAAAGCGCUCGACAAAACUUCUCACGAGCUCCGAGCAAAUAAGACAAACGGCCUCUACCGUAAUUAGCAGCGUCCGUCGAACUGUCGAAAACAUUCAAUUUGACUCAUCGAAGCAUGGUUAAUUUCAUUUUAUAAGAAUAAAAAGAUUAAAAUCUUAAGUCAUUUCUCAACAUAUUUUACAAAAUUAGCAUUUCUAAUGCAUCUAAAGCGCAACUAAGCAAAACCUUUCUUUAGCGAUAUCUUUGCGAGUUGUGGAUUCCCGAACCGACUCGCCAACUCGCUUAUUUAUACCCUAAUUUGUUUAUCAACGCUCAAUUGCAUUAGAUUUAUUCUUG